GCCAGCCCCGCGACGCCAACGCAAGCCCCGGGACGCACGCAGGGUCGACCCCGGAGAGACACACACAGGAACCUCUGAGACACACACAGGGACCUCUGAGACACACACGGGAACCUCUGAGACACACACGGGAACCUCUGAGACACACACGGGGACCUCUGAGACACACACGGGGACCUCUGAGACACACGGGGACCUCUGAGACACACACAGGGACCUCUGAGACACACACAGGGACCUCUGAGACACACGCCGUCACCUUCAACACACAAACUGUCUCCUCCGAGACACACAGAUUCAGAUACACAACCCCGAGACAAACACAGUCACUCCCAGGAUGCACACAGGCGCUAGACGAGAUGCAAACCUUCAACCCAGAGACGAACAGAGUCAACUGCAUCGUCACCUCCGAGACAAACAGAGUCAGCUCCGAGACUUCACUGGUCAGCUCCGAGACAAACACAGUCCCUUCCGAGACAAACACGUUCCCCUCUGAGACAAACACAGUCACCUCCGAGACACAGAUACCCUUAAAGUGUAUUUCCGGGGCAAAUUGAACCCAGGGUCUUUUUCGCCAUGAAAACCCAUAAAAUAAGCCCUCCGGACACAUUUUGUCAUUGAUGAUCAAGUAUUGCUUACCCAAAGUUGCCAGAGCAAUGUAACAACCCAAAUUACUUCCAUGUUAUUGGCUAGGAGCCCCGCGAACGCUUCCAAAUCGGCAUUUCUUAACCACUAAUAUUGCUAAAAAUAGCACAAAACCUCUGCAGUAGCAUGAUUAGUUGUUAAGAAAUGCCGACUUGGAAGCGUUUGCGGUGCCCCUAGCCAAUAACAUGGAAGUAAUUUGGGCUGUUACAUUGCUCCAGGCAACUUUGGGCAAGCUCUAUACUCGAUUAUCAAUGAAAAAAAGUGUCUGGAGGGCUUAUUUUAUAGGUUUCCAUGCCGAAUUUCUUUGCCGGAAUUACACUCUAAGUCCCUCCCACCUCCUCCUGAGUUAAUUAAGUAGUAAAUCUUCUGCCAGGUUGGGCCAUAUUUCAAAAUCUUUUCACGUGUUCAGUGAUAUCGCAUCAAGGGGCAGUUUAUCCGACGACAGAAUGUCCGAAAUGUGUGGUGAUGGAAAUUGGCCGCUCAACUGAUUCUAAAGCACAGGACUUCAUGCGAGGUGACACUCCCGAGCUGUGAGGGUCCGGGGAGGUUAGCGUCAGGGCUGAUGGUGAACCACCAGGCCCCCUCCGGCCCCGCAAACACCUGACAGACAUGCAGGAGAAACAUCUGCACACCUGCUAGCUGACGGGCCCCUGCAGGGAUGUUUAUAUGUAUCACUGUCUCUUCAGGUCUCCCCGUCUCUCUCUCUCUCUCUCCUCCUUUUCUCUUGGGUUAUCUCUGUCUCUUCACCGACCAGCCACACGUUCAUCCGUUUGGCUACGGAGGUGCUAUUUAUGAAGCUCGUCGGUACAACCGGAUCUAAAGGCAAUAAAGUCCACAAGGAGCUCAAGCUUCCUCAUUCAAAGUGUCAUUCCUCAUCAACAAAAUUAACAAAGAAUUAAAUGCUUCAUUUCCCAAAGGCAGCGUACAGAGAGAUUCUAACUUAGCCUCCUAUUCGAUCAAAUAGACUCGGGUUACGAAGGUGACCGUAGCACUUCAAAGAAUCACCAGUGGGUUCACCAGAGCUUUGUUUGUGGUUCUGUUCCUUUUGUUCUCCUUGUGUCCCCCGUCCUAAAUCCCCUCUGCGUCCAUGGGUUAGGCCCUGUCUCAGGCCUCCUCAGCCUCCUCCAGUCUCCUCUCGGGCCUCCUCCAGCCUCCUCUCGGGCCUCCUCAGCCUCCUCAGUCCCGUCUAGCCCUUGUCUAGCGCUCACCCUGCAUCUGCGUCGAUUUGAAUCCACACCUGUCUGGAGACGUGGCACCGGGGGGCCAACAGGGGGUCACGUAGCGUGGUUUAGUGUGAGCAGGUAGACAGGCCACCGGGCCCUGACGUGCUGUCACGCCGGCCGCAAAGGAAACCUAAGGUGGUCAGACACUCGCUCGAGUCUCGGGUCUCUCACUUAACGCGGUGGUUUGACAGAAUCCUGUUGUUCCAAGCCGGGGGGGGGGCCUCAACGAAUAGGAGGGAGCCAGACACAAUCAGGCGCUUCACACCUCCUCCACUCCUUCACACCUCCAACCCUUCACCCGUCCUCGGCUCGGAGGCGGAGUUAGGCGACACUGACAGCCUCCGUUGGACAGCGCUCAGCGACAGACUCAGUUUAGUUUGGCUGUCCCCGUUUUUUGGUUCCCAGCGUCCCGUGACCCUAAAGGACAGAGCAGGUCAAGGGUUUCACACCAGACGGGGGUUAACAUCGAAGCAGUUUAUCACCGAUGCACAAUAACCGAGUCUUCGUCAAACAAUAUAAAUUCACCGGAUUCAGUGAUUCAGGAACAUAUUGUUGUCUAACCACGCAUACAGUAAGUGCAUGCACGUGCAUACACCCACACACACACACAAUCAAAGAGGAGCAGCCAUCUUAACGGAAAUGUGCACUGAAUGCUGAAGCUGCCAAUAUUGAUAACGAGAUCUCCUUUGUAAAUUGUAAAAGUGUAAACAUUUAAAAGAAAACGUGAAAUGCCAGCAAAUAAUAACUCGUUCGUAUUUGCCUUAUGAAGAUUUUUUUGGAGGAUGUUGAUGAUGAUGAUGAUGAUGAUGAUGAUGGUGAUGAUGAUGAUGAUGGUGCACAUCAGACAUUUUGUAACCUCCAACUUUCUGUGGAGCGUUACACGCACCAUGUGACUGAGGAGAGCUUCAGUGAUUGGUCAGCUGAGCCGCUGGACUGAGGACCGGGUCGGAUGACCGGUGGUUGGAGUAGACUCAGGUCACAUGACCCACGGUGCUGAGCACGCUCAGGUCACCUGAACUGCAGGGUUCUCCUGAAGGGUUCAGAACUGUCGCAAUAUACUGACGUUAAAACGUUGAAUUGUACUUUUCUUCAAAGUGGAAACAACCGUCGAGCAACGUUUACGGAAGGGUUUCAUGUUCUUAAUCUCCCUGAGUUUAUGUACAGAAGAAAUCAAUAUUAUGGAUCUGUGGCACAAUCAACUGUCAAACUAUAGUUAUGUCUUAUGCAGGACUUGAGGAAAUGUUCGAUUUUUAUUUUUUAAAUCUGCAAGGACAACCCAAAAUGGUGAUUAAUAUAUGAUUAGUUAAUAUGUACAGUAGACAAUUCUUGUCAAUGUUAUUUUAAGUGCAAUUAAGAGAAAUGGCAUUUGGUAUAUAUUUCAGGAGGGCUUUACAAAAUCCUUUGAUAAUCAACCGCUUCCUGAAAGUGUAAAUGUUUUGGAUUAAUGUUGUGUUACAUGGUUUGUCAUGAAGUAGACCGUCAGUGAACCGGACUCAGAGCUUACGUCCACGAACAGUAGAAUGCCUUUAGACGCCUCAGGACCGCCCCCUGGUGGAGAUCAAUGCUAUUACAAUCAGCGGUGCGAUCAUUAAAAUUCUCGCCUGACAAUCGCCAUUACAAAUCAAAUUCCCGUUUAUGUAUCCCGAUCCUUUAUAAGUGUAUUUCUCUUAUGUUUUCCAGAUUUUUGUCAUGGACAAUACUGCGAAAAACAUACCAACAGUAUUUUCUUACAAUCCUGUAGACCUGUCUGUUUGGUCGAGAGGGAUUGGAAUCAGGGUCAUGAUGUGGAAUCAGGGUCAUGAUUGUGAGAUCAGGGUUAUGAUUAUGGAGCCAGGUCUGUUUUUUCUAUUUCUGAGAUCCUGGUCUUAGAUAUUUUAGUUUCGAGUUUAUAAUUCUCACAAACUAAGAAUUCUGGAAACAAAUAAAAUAGCACGUGUCAAAUACAAAAAGAUAUGUUUGAAAGGGAAAUCAUUUAUUUAUUAAAAGUGUCAAACUUGUGUAUUGUACGGUUGUUUUUUUUUAUUGAUGAAUUAAACUUAAUUGCAAACCUCAAA
ensembl:lncRNA